rnacentral:rRNA from 1 species
UGGAUCCAGACUUUGAUUAUGGCUCAGGAUGAACGCUAGCUACAGGCUUAACACAUGCAAGUCGAGGGGAAACGAUAUUGGAAGCUUGCUUCCGAUAGGCGUCGACCGGCGCACGGGUGAGUAACGCGUAUCCAACCUGCCCAUCACUUGGGAAUAACCUUGCGAAAGUAAGACUAAUGCCCAAUGACAUUUAUAGAAGGCAUCUGAAAUGAAUUAAAGAUUUAUCGGUGAUGGAUGGGGAUGCGUCUGAUUAGCUUGUUGGCGGGGUAACGGCCCACCAAGGCGACGAUCAGUAGGGGUUCUGAGAGGAAGGUCCCCCACAUUGGAACUGAGACACGGUCCAAACUCCUACGGGAGGCAGCAGUGAGGAAUAUUGGUCAAUGGGCGAGAGCCUGAACCAGCCAAGUAGCGUGCAGGGUGACGGCCCUAUGGGUUGUAAACUGCUUUUAUAGGGGAAUAAAGUGAGCCACGCGUGGUUUUUUGCAUGUACCCUAUGAAUAAGGACCGGCUAAUUCCGUGCCAGCAGCCGCGGUAAUACGGAAGGUCCGGGCGUUAUCCGGAUUUAUUGGGUUUAAAGGGAGCGUAGGCCGGAGAUUAAGCGUGUUGUGAAAUGUAGAUGCUCAACAUCUGAACUGCAGCGCGAACUGGUUUCCUUGAGUACGCAUAAAGUGGGCGGAAUUCGUGGUGUAGCGGUGAAAUGCUUAGAUAUCACGAAGAGCUCCGAUUGCGAAGGCAGCUCACUGGGGCGCAACUGACGCUGAAGCUCGAAAGCGCGGGUAUCGAACAGGAUUAGAUACCCUGGUAGUCCGCGCGGUAAACGAUGGAUGCCCGCUGUUGGGCCAACUGGUUCAGCGGCCAAGCGAAAGCAUUAAGCAUCCCACCUGGGGAGUACGCCGGCAACGG